CAACAAACCAAACAUCAUCAUCCACUGUACACUACAUUGACUACAAUCAGUACAAUGCGUCGGUGCGAGGUUUAUCAAAGAAAAGAAUGCAACAGGCCUAACCAGUAACCACUACCAGGCUUAUUCAUCAACAGCAAAGAUGCUAUGCUAUGCAGUGUUCUACUGUAGCUACACCAAGUUGACAAAGAAACAGUUGGGAAUUAAGAUGAACUGGUGGGAUCAUUGCAGAGCUGCAGAGGUGGCAAUCCAUUUCAGAGGCAGUGAUCCCUUGUGGCCUGGGAGCUGGGACUGCUACAUCCAAAACAAAUACUAAGGAUACCAAACAAGAAACUGCAUCAUCUAAUGCUAAUCAUCAUCAUCGAGAGGAUAGCUGCUAUGAGUUUGACAAAAGGCUGAGUGUCAGCUAGACUCACAAGUCUGCUGCUCAGUCCUGGAAACUACAACUGAUCCAGAUUUGCAGUUGUCAAAGUUUCAGCAGUCAGAGCCUCUAUGGAAUCAAGAAGUGUGAGAGAUGAAGAAAAUCUCUGUGAAGGAAGAACCAUUUCUUACAUGAUGAGGGUUGUGGCAGGAUUGAUCAAGUAAGCCUGUCAGCUCUGGAUUUGGGGGCCAGCAAGCUUCAUCUCCCACAUCCACCAUCAUGUGCACAAUGAAAGCUCCAACUGAGGCUCGUGAUGCACAUGGCUGGCUUGGCUCACUAACCCUCUCCACUGCCCUUGGCAUUGCCUAAGAAGGCUAAGAUGCUGGAGACGCUCUUGACAGCAGCGGCGCGUCUGGAGCGUCCAGUUCCGACCAACUCACCGAGACGCUUGUCUUUUCCCGGCAUUGAUUUUGUGGAACUUACAACCGCGACUAAAUCGUUGUGUUCUUUAGAAGCCUUUGUCGGAAACAAGGCAUUGUUGCUCGGUUCAUGAUUAUUCUUUUGUCAAUGAAAAAUCUCUGAAGAGGCAUGGUCUUCUAAUGCACUUUUUACCUUUAGUCACUUGUCUGUUAUUGGUGUAAAUUUGCUUGCAGUGCAUAGCGAAGCCUUGUUCAACAAGUUUUAACCGUAUAAAUUAAAAUCAUUGCUUCUGAAAGUAUAGAUAUGUAUUGCUGCAAUUCGGGUCAUGCCCACAAAAAGUUAAUUAAUCCCUGUGAAAUUAACGUAUAUGGCCAAUUAGUCUCAGUGCGGCCGGAGAGGAGGAAUUUCUGUGCAUCGCUUUUGCGACGAAAAAUAAUUCCAGAGAACAAACUGUCUGUCGCGAUGGUGCCAGAAACUUCAGUGUUGUAAAGUGUACUGUCUAAUCAAUAAUCAGUCUUAAAUAAAUUCGAUUCUCAAAUAAAACUUAGGAAUUUUACCCCGCUUAUUAUUAAAUUCAUAAACAAUGAUAGAAGACACUGGGAUUUUAGGCCAAUAUUAAUAGAAAAUACUGAGAUUUUAGGGCAAUAAUAAUAGGAGAUGAUUUGAUUUUACAGCAAUAAUAAUGGAAGUCCGAGAUUUUAGGGCAAUAAUUUAACCAAGAAAAUAUAGAAGUUUAAAUCCUGUUGCGAGCUGAAGACAUUUCAUAUUAUAUCCUGUAGAACAACGGGAUUCGAGAAUUCCUGGAGAAAUAUUUCAGUAUCAUGAAUCACGGUUACAAUAUAAAUAGAAACAUGACAAGUUAGCCUUUGAUUUUUGCUCAUAGUGCUGAAGCUACUCGCGGCCGUGUCUAUUUUGGGUUAUUUUGGUAGCUUGAAGACAGCUGUGACGUGAUUCUUAUUUACUAUUGUCAGCUUUUUUUACUAUAUAAUACCUUCAUACUCUAUAUAUUGUUCACAUCGGGAAAUUUAAGUUUUGUGCAUCCUAUUGAAAACAAGGCAAUGUGUAAUGCAGUUUCAAGCUCUGAAAAUAAGUGUAAAUUUUUGUUCUUGGAAUUUCUAUUACUAUUAGUACAUAAUUAGUGAUAUUAAUUCAUUUGUAAAUUUCGAAGAUCUGGCCAGGCUGGCCUGAGUAGCUAGUGUUGCUACUAUGUGCAGAGUUGUUAUUUUCACAGUACAGGUACUUCGUACACCCAUAAUUAUAAUGAAGAGAUGUUUCCUUAUAAGCACUACUCAUUAAUGCGGCACUAACGUAAAGUGUGGACACUGCAUUACUUCUCAUGGUCACAUUUCGUUUCAUAUUUUCUUUCUACAUUUUUAUAAAAACGACUGUUGCUUUGAAACUAUCCCAAAAUAGUUUAUGAAUUAUUUCUGUCUUCAAAAUGCGUAUGGACUGGCCACGUAUACUGCACAUUCGUCACCAUUUUGAGAUACAAACAUUUUGAUUAUUCAUUACCACUGUUUAUAGUUGAUUUUUUCACAGUUCUUGUGCCUUUUCUUUCUUCAUUCUGUCUUCCUGGAACAAUUAGAGAUAAUUUUUAAAUUUAAAAUCUCUGUUUCGAAAUUCAAAUCGAGAUGGAUAAUCCUUCUGCAGUUAAUUUAUAUAAUGCACAAAAAUACAAUGAACAGAGUUAACGUAAGUAGAAAAAGCUAAUAAUUUGAGCACAUAAGGCCCAUAAUUUUGGAUGCCAUGCAUUGUUUCAACGUCAAUUAAUAAAGUUUUCGAUGCC